rnacentral:tRNA from 1 species
GGCACGCCCGGUACGGGUACUCCGGGUACACCGGGUACCGGCACCGGCGGCGGUACGCCGGUGACGCCGGCUGUUCCGUUGGCCGCCGGUGUGCUG